rnacentral:rRNA from 1 species
GUCCACGCCCUAAACGAUGUCGACUGGUUGUUGGGGGUUUGACACUCUCAGUAACGAAGCUAACGCGUGAAGUCGACCGCCUGGGGGAGUACGGCCGCAAGGUUAAAACUCAAAGGAAUUGACGGGGACCCGCACAAGCGGUGGAUUAUGUGGAUUAAUUCGAUGCAACGCGAAAAACCUUACCUACCCUUGACAUGUCCCCGAAGCCCCGGUGAGAGCCGGGGGUGCCCGAAAGGGAACGGGAACACAGGUGCUGCAUGGCUGUCGU